rnacentral:tRNA from 2 species
GCCCAGGUGGCGAAAUUGGCAGACGCACCAUCUUGAGGGGGUGGCGAGAAAUCGUGUGAGUUCGAAUCUCAUCCUGGGCA